rnacentral:rRNA from 1 species
UACGUAGGGUGCGAGCGUUGUCCGGAAUUAUUGGGCGUAAAGAGCUCGUAGGCGGUGUGUCGCGUCGGCCGUGAAAACCUGCAGCUUAACUGUGGGCUUGCGGUCGAUACGGGCAUCACUGGAGUUCGGCAGGGGAGACUGGAAUUCCUGGUGUAGCGGUGAAAUGCGCAGAUAUCAGGAGGAACACCGGUGGCGAAGGCGGGUCUCUGGGCCGAAAUUGACGCUGAGGAGCGAAAGCGUGGGGAGCAAACAGG